rnacentral:lncRNA from 1 species
UGCUUGUUUCUUCUCAAAAAUAAUUUAUUUUCAGGAUUCUCUCAUAAGCUGCAGUUAAUAAACUUUUCAGACUCGGAUAAUCUCCUUCAGAAAAAGGGUUUCUUCACGUUUCUGGACAACUACAGGAGAAGCAGUUUAAGGGCAAAAAAGCAGAAAAUAAUGAACGAUAAGACUGAGAGAUCUGAGCAUAUUGAGGGAGAAGAGACACAAACCAGAUUUUGCAGCAUCACAGCGCACACUUUAUACAGUGCUAUGCAACAGUUUCUCCAGCUAAAAUAAAGAUACCCGGCUGAUAAAGUUCUUGGAGGACCUUUGUCUGAGGAUGAAAUACAGGUGCAAAAUCUUGUUUUCCUGCUCUUGCUACUUUCACAUGGCUGUGGCUGUCAUUAAAAUCAUCAGAAUUUUUGUGAACAGCAUAAGUUUGUGUGCGAGGGGAGGCAGGGCCGAGUGAAAAUUAUUUUAGUAGC